UUGGCAAUAUUUACCUAGCUUUUGGUGUUACGCUAACGUAACUCCUUUGAUAAAACAUUACCAAGAUGUAUAAAAUUUGGUAUGGCAAAACAAAUCUUUGAAAAAAAUGCCAUACAUGCCAAAUUAAAAAAACAACAGAGGUCCGUAAAAAUAUGAAAUAACCCCUUUUUUGCCAAAAUCCCAGGGGGCGGGGUCCGGACCCCCUGACCCCCUUUGAAUCCGCAUAUGAAGCGAAACGUGUAUGUUGUUACCAGCAGUUUCACGUGUUUCCAGUAGUUCCGUAUCGAAAUGAAAUAUUGCAAGGGAGGUAAUUCUUGAAACAUUAUCAAAACGUGUUCUCGGAGUUGCGUCCCUCUAAUGCAAGCUGCAUACACCUGCGUACCAAUUGCGAAGGUGGGUGGGCUGAGGGUAGCUGGAGUGUUUCCGACAGUAUUCAAAUUGCAUACGCGUACUAAUAUAUGGCUGUAAGAGUUCAUGGGACUUUGUAUUACUCCAUAGACAGAUGUCAGCAUCUGUAAUCGAACUAGAGGUGAUGGACAAUGCAUUUAACAUGUUCCAUCGACACUCAAAUUGCGUAAUUACGUCACUCGUAGUUCGAACAUUGAACCAACUUUACUCAGUGUAUUAACAAAUCAUCCUUUCUUGACUGGCCUAAUCCGUAUCAAGUGCACCGAUUAUACGUUCAACACGUGUUAGAUGAAUAUAGAUUUUACGGCCUUCGUGAUUAAUUCCUACGGAUCU
rnacentral:sRNA from 1 species